rnacentral:rRNA from 1 species
UACUCCCGCCGGCGACCGGCGCACGGGGUGAGUAACACGUAUGAAACCUGCCCGUAGCAGGGGGAUAAGCGGAAGAAAUUCCGUCUAAUACCGCGUAACAACCCGAGGAGGCAUCUCCUCGGGUUUAAAGGAAGCGAUUCCGGCUACGGAUGGUCAUGCGUCGCAUUAGCUAGUUGGCGGGGUAACGGCCCACCAAGGCGACGAUGCGUAGGGGUUCUGAGAGGAAGGUCCCCCACACUGGUACUGAGACACGGACCAGACUCCUACGGGAGGCAGCAG